rnacentral:rRNA from 1 species
GAUGAACGCUGGCGGCGUGCCUAAUACAUGCAAGUCGAGCGAACAGACGAGGAGCUUGCUCCUCUGACGUUAGCGGCGGACGGGUGAGUAACACGUGGAUAACCUACCUAUAAGACUGGGAUAACUUCGGGAAACCGGAGCUAAUACCGGAUAAUAUAUUGAACCGCAUGGUUCAAUAGUGAAAGACGGUUUUGCUGUCACUUAUAGAUGGAUCCGCGCCGCAUUAGCUAGUUGGUAAGGUAACGGCUUACCCAGGCAACGAUGCGUAGCCGACCUGAGAGGGCGAUCGGCCACACUGGAACUGAGACACGGUCCAGACUCCUACGGGAGGCAGCAGUAGGGAAUCUUCCGCAAUGGGCGAAAGCCUGACGGAGCAACGCCGCGUGAGUGAUGAAGGUCUUCGGAUCGUAAAACUCUGUUAUUAGGGAAGAACAAAUGUGUAAGUAACUAUGCACGUCUUGACGGUACCUAAUCAGAAAGCCACGGCUAACUACGUG